UGACCUUUUAUGUUUCUACGUCAGCCGGCGCGGCGCGAGUGGAUGCGAAUGACGGUUGGGCGGGCAUGCUCUGCGGCAAAAUGUACUCGGCACCAUUAUCUGUAGACUUAACAAGAUUACCCAAAAACCCUGUGUUUUUACGCGUCCUCGAGACCACCUUUUAACGUGAUUGCUCGUUAUAUCCACUGCAACGGGCCGGUCGACCUACUCAAAAUGACAUUCCGACUGUUUUAUCAAAUAGAGCAGCACUAUUAUAUGGAAUUCUAAACGUAUAGUCUUCUGCGAAUAGACCUAUGCGCAGUAUAUGAUAAUAAUAUUAUGUUGAUUGA